rnacentral:rRNA from 1 species
GACGAACGCUGGCGGCGUGCUUAACACAUGCAAGUCGAACGAAGAGCGAUGGAAGCUUGCUUCUAUCAAUCUUAGUGGCGAACGGGUGAGUAACGCGUAAUCAACCUGCCCUUCAGAGGGGGACAACAGUUGGAAACGACUGCUAAUACCGCAUACGAUCUAACCUCGGCAUCGAGGAUAGAUGAAAGGUGGCCUCUACAUGUAAGCUAUCACUGAAGGAGUGGAUUGCGUCUGAUUAGCUAGUUGGAGGGGUAACGGCCCACCAAGGCGAUGAUCAGUAGCCGGUCUGAGAGGAUGAGCGGCCACAUUGGGACUGAGACACGGCCCAGACUCCUACGGGAGGCAGCAGUGGGGAAUCUUCCGCAAUGGACGAAAGUCUGACGGAGCAACGCCGCGUGAGUGAUGACGGCCUUCGGGUUGUAAAGCUCUGUUAAUCGGGACGAAAGGCCUUCUUGCGAAUAGUGAGAAGGAUUGACGGUACCGGAAUAGAAAGCCACGGCUAACUACGUG